GUGAUGCGGUGUCCCUUUGCAGAGGCGGUGACGAGGUACGCCACAGGCUGA
rnacentral:snoRNA from 1 species